CUGCUGCCUCCCGUAGGAGUCUGGGCCGUGUCUCAGUCCCAAUGUGGCCGUCCACCCUCUCAGGCCGGCUACUGAUCGUCGCCUUGGUGGGCCGUUACCCCGCCAACCAGCUAAUCAGACGCGGGUCCAUCCCGCACCACCGGAGUUUUUCACACUGCUUCAUGCGAAGCUGUGCGCUUAUGCGGUAUUAGCAGCCGUUUCCAGCUGUUGUCCCCCAGUGCGGGGCAGGUUGCCCACGCGUUACUCACCCGUCCG
rnacentral:rRNA from 1 species